CCCCUUUCUUUCCCGUAAGCCGCACCCUAUAUUCAAAAUGUCACUCACGUGACUAUGGCAAUAAAUGGCCUCUGUAAUAAGCCUAUCGGACCCGGGGGCGGUACCCGGCGCCUCCACCAUAAGAACCGUCUUCUCCAUCAGAGAGUUGGCGAUUUUUAUGAUGGGGGCGAAAUAGGAUCGACGAGGGUGUAAAAAUUGUGUUUUUGCUCGGCAUUGUACCACCGUUAUCGGGCUAAUUUUGUAGUUGCAAACGACAACUAUGCAGGGUCACGCCUCGCUGCUGCUUAAGCAGUGCGGUAACCCACUGAACUCCUAGUCGGUUUGCUCGGCUAGGCGGGGUUCGGAGGCACCUGGCAACAGAAGCCUCCACU
rnacentral:tmRNA from 2 species